UAGCCCAACGAGAUCGGGAUAACACCUGGAAACAGAUGCUAAUACCGGAUAACAACAGAUGAUGCCUAUCAACUGUUUAAAAGAUGGUUCUGCUAUCACUCUUGGAUGGACCUGCGGUGCAUUAGCUAGUUGGUAGGGUAACGGCCUACCAAGGCGAUGAUGCAUAGCCGAGUUGAGAGACUGAUCGGCCACAUUGGGACUGAGACACGGCCCAAACUCCUACGGGAGGCAGCAGC
rnacentral:rRNA from 1 species